UACGGGGGGGCAAGCGUUGUUCGGAAUUACUGGGCGUAAAGGCUCGUAGGCGGCCAACUAAGUCAUACGUGAAAUCCCUCAGCUUAACUGGGGAACUGCGUGUGAUACUGGAUGGCUUGGAUUUGGGAGAGGGAUGCGGAAUUCCAGGUGUAGCGGUGAAAUGCGUAGAUAUCUGGAGGAACACCGGUGGCGAAGGCGGCAUCCUGGACCAAUAUUGACGCUGAGGAGCGAAAGCCAGGGGAGCAAACGGG
rnacentral:rRNA from 1 species